AUAUUUACCUGGCAGGGGGGAUACCAUGAUCACGAAGGUGGUUUUCCCAAGGUGAGGCUUAUCCAUUGCACUCCAGAUGUGCUGACUCCUGUGAUUUCACCAAAUGCAGGAAACUUAACUGCAUAAUUUUUGGUAGUGGGGGACUGUAUUUGUGCUCCCCCCUG
rnacentral:snRNA from 1 species